UUGGUCUAAUAAAACAUAUCACAUCUACCCAAAGAACCUUGCCUACCUAAUUUUUAUUCAGGCUUUUAAGACCUAAUCUGAUCCUUUUCUGCAAGAAAGUAAAGUAUGCAUGGUAUUUUUAGCUGCAUUACUUAGUAUUGUGGUGUGGUAUUUAUAGAACAAACAAAGAGAAGAUGACCUCAAGUUUCUUAGGCCCAUUUGUAAAAGUAUCUUUAAAAAUGUUUUAUUACUUUGUUUUCCUCCACUGUUGGCUCACCUCCACUGCAUGCUACUGCUACCCUCACACAGUCUUUCUUGUUUGUUUGAUGUUUCUAAGUGCUCUACACACCCAGUGAAUGCUUUGCAGGCCGUUCUUUCCUACUACCUCCAAAGUUUCUCUUUUGUUUUUAUUGCCUUUUAAGUACUCUGCAUGUCCUCAAAGUGUCUCAUUAUUCUUCUCAACUUCCAUUUAUGUUAAAAGCUUUUAAAUACAUUUUAAUGACGCAUAACGGCAGUAUGAUGAGCCUAAUAGCAUGCUAUUGAUUGUUCAUCUGAAACACUGACAUUUGAACAUUUCAAUAGUCAUAGUAAUGUGUAUGUUUAAUGUUUUUUGCAAUCAAGGCAAGUACAACUUAAUAUAUGUCUACUAAAGCUAAAGAAAACUAGUUGCAGCAAGUCACAUUUCAUUUCUAUCAGUCUUUAAAACAGCAGUGUCAGCAAUAACCACUGGUACAGGGAGUAAAAGAAAGAAAUACGGAACUACUGUAUGCGCACACAGCUUAUCUACUACACAUAGACACUGCUGAGGGAGAAUAUCAUAUGUUAGCUAGUGUUAUAGCAAUAUAAAUUGUGAAUCACCAUGUACAAUUGUAACUGCCAUAAGGAUAUUCUCUAGGUAAAUCACAAUUUGGCACAGAUCAAAUGAUAAAACUGGAAUGAUCUGGCUCAUAAUUCAGAUUCACUGAGCAGAUUAGGCAGUGCCAUAGCAACAAAAUUUGGCACCUGGGGCAAAGCCCGCAGCGGCAGUCUGCCCUUGACCAUGCACAGAUCUGGGGGGCACACAUCCGCCCCCAUGCUUGCCUGGGAGUGGACAUAGCGUGGGAGCCAUGCUUCCCCCAUCCCUGCGCCCCUCUCCCCCCCAGAUGAGCAACUCACAGCUCUGUCUUGUGCCCCACCCCAGCUGGGCAGCACCUGUUGGUGCUCCUUUGCUUUGGUACCUGGGGCAGUCACCCCGUUCACCACCCACUUGCUACAGCACUGAGAGUAGGAAAGAUAAUAAGUAGAAAUAUAAAACAGGCACCUGUAUGUAUUGAUGUAAUUUAUUUUAAAAGGACACCAACAGGCAACAACAUCUGAUCACCAAACCACCUGGGGAUUUUGUCUUCUGAAAUGUUCCAUGUUCAGGCGAAGAGUGCAAUGAGCUCCAGAAGUAAACUUGAGAGGCAGUUAGUUGUAUGUUCCAACCAAUAUCUGAAUGGUUUGCAGUUACAUUAACAGAGUCACCUACCUGUUCUAAAUUAUAUAUUAACACUGCAUCCUUGAGUUUUAGCUUGGGGCCUGCUUUAUUUUGGGGCUGUUGCAUGCCUUUUCAGGUGACCAUCCAAGCUUAUUCAUAGAUUCAUAGAUGUUAGGGUCAGAAGGGACCUCAAUAGAUCAUCGAGUCCGACCCCCUGCAUAGGCAGGAAAGAGUGCUGGGUCUAGAUGACCCCAGCCAGAUGCAUAUCCAACCUCCUCUUGAAGACCCCCAGGGUAGGGGAGAGCACCACCUCCCUUGGGAGCCCGUUCCAGACCUUGGCCACUUGAACUGUGAAGAAGUUCUUCCUAAUGUCCAGUCUAAAUCUGCUCUCUGCUAGCUUGUGGCCAUUAUUUCUUGUAACCCCUGGGGGCGCCUUAGUGAAUAAAACCUCACCAAUUCCCUUCUGUGCCCCCGUGAUGAACUUAUAGGCAGCCACAAGGUCGCCUCUCAACCUUCUCUUGCGGAGGCUGAAAAGGUCCAGGUUCUCUAGUCUCUCCUCGUAGGGUUUGGUCCCCUUAUGGGCAGAUUCAAGAUUUUGUAUAGGGAGGCAUGGAAGCAAUAACCAGCAUGGCAGGGGUGGCCGUAUUCUGGUUCCCAGAAUAUUAUUAGGCCAUGUGUAGAUGAAAUGAGGGAUGUGUGCAUAACACUUUAAACCAGGCUAAAUGCUUUUGCACCGCUUUAAUGGUGUUGGUGUUUGUACACCUCAGCGGCGUAUUACACAUUAAUUCCAGCUGCUGUAGGAAAUUCAGCAGCGUAAUAGGCCUUAAAUGAGUUGGGGCAUAGCAAAUUAAAACUCCUCCGAGGAGUUUCAGUUUGCUGUCCCUACAGCCACGGAGUGAAGCACCGAGCUCUGUGCAGCUCAGGGGCUCUGCAGAGAAGAGAGAAAAGAUGGAAAAACAAAGAGGGUGUGUCCUUUACUGUCCAUAUCUCCCACUGCUACUGGCUGUGGCUCAGGCUCGCUGGUCCAGGGCAGAGGGAAGCAGCAGCCACCAGGGCCUCCCCAGCGGUCCUGGAGUGGGGGUAGCCCAGGCCCAGGGCUUGGAGGGAGGGCCCGGCAGGGGCUCAGGCAGACAGACACUCCAUCCCACCUGGGUGGGGGCAGCAUUGGGGUGCUGGGCACUUGGGGCAGAUUCCAGGUGGCACAGGGGGAGGUGCUGCAGGUGGGCUGGUCCGGUCAGGCCCUUGGGAAGGAGGCAACCAGAGGAGAGUAGGGGCCAGGCAGUGAGCGGGGGCUGGCCCAGGACUCUACAGACUUGGGCCACAGUGGGUGGGCUGGAGUGCCCAGCAGCACCUGAGGUGGGGCCUGGCUUGGCCCAGCCCGUGCAGCUCCAUGGGGAUGGGCACCGAAGCCACCCUGCCCACAAGGGGACGCCACCUGGCCGGGGCAGAACACCAGGCUCAGGGGCUUCCCAGCUCUGGGCUCGGCCUCCCUGUGUACCGGGCAUGAUGUGUACCAGGCACAGUGUGACGGGGCAGAGCUGCCCCUGGUGCAAGGAACCAGCUGUGGGAGCCCCCAGGAGCCUCCAGCGCAGCAGCCCUCUGCAGGGGCUCAGGCAGACAAGUACCCUGUCCCACCCGGGUGGGGGCAGCGCUGGGGCAUCAAACGCCUGGGUCGGCCACUUGGGGCAGGGUCCAGGUGGUGUGGGGAGAAGCAGGUGUGGGGGGAGGUGCCUUGGCCCUUGGGAAGGUUGCAGCCAGAGGAGAGUGGGGGCCAGGUGAGAAGCAGGGGCUGCCUUGGGGUCCCACCAGCUCGAACUGUAGAGGGUGGGGGCACCCGGUGGCCCCUGGGGUGGUGGGGAUGCCGCCUGGCCGGGGCAAGAUGCUGGGCUCGGGGGGGGCUCCUGGCUCUGGGCUCGGCGUCCCUGCGCACCAGGCACAGCGCAAGUGGGGUGGAGCCGCCCCCCGGUGCCAUUGUCAUGUGUGCCGGGGGUUGCCUAUCUUUGGUCUAGACCCUUGCUUUCCUGACCUCGUCUGUCCUGAUUCCCUGGGUUGUGAUCCUCCAGGGCAGGGGUUGGUAACCUAUGUUCCAUGGGCCAGAUCCAGCCCAUAGAGCCAUUUGUUUUGGCCCACAGACAGGGCGCUUCAGUGGUAUUUAGUGUUGGGGGACUUUGGCAGCAAUGAUUUUUCCAUAGUACUGCAGGGUGAAAUGUUGGUAGGGGCAGUUGUGGGGAAAAGCAGUGGCCGAGGCAGUAGCUCUGUCACUUCAGCCUGCAGCCUUAAAAAGGUUGCUGACUGUUGCCCUGGGGCAAAGCCCCAAUUGCCCAUGUCCUGGUUGUUUCUCAGUAGUUGAGUAGCUUCCCACCAGAGCUUUGCAGGCCCUCCCAAUCCAUUUCCACAGGGUGACUGCCUAUGUCUUGGUCUGGUCCUUCACAAUCAUCUGGUCUGGGCUUGUGACCCAACUUUGGCAACCACUCAAAACCUAUUCCUCUGACAGCUUCCAUAGCCCACCCAGAGCUGCACAGACUUUGCCUGGCCUGGCCAGCCCAGAAAUCUCAGAAAUCUGACCCUGACUGUUGGAGGAUGUCCUAGGGAGGUGGGUACUACCAGAAGCUGAGGCAACAGACAGGCUGAAUAGCCCCCAGCUGACCCUAGUCAUGUAAAUGAGCCUCCCAGCCAGUCAGCUCACAACUUCUGGCUAGCCCUAGUUACUUCCCUGGGUGUGACUGCCUGCUUAUAUAUAGCAGCCCUUCAGGGCCUGGUUGGUUACUCAACAAAAUAACUGUCUCUUCCCAGCCUUGGGCUUCUGACUCUUAGUUUUCUGGUUCCUGGCUGUUGAUUCCUAGUUUCCCAGUUCCUGGUUUCUGCCAGUUGUUUCUUAGCUUCCUGGUACCUUGCAUGAUGAUGAUUCUGUUUCAGAUUCAAAUCUAGAUUCCUCUGCUCUGUACUUGGCAGCUGUUUCCCCACCUCUGCCCUUUUCCUGGCUCUGGUCCAGACCUCUUUCUUGUGACAUCCACUGGUUCAUGGCUUUAGUUUGGUGACCAGCCAUGCCCCGGUCCAUUAUAGCUACAGCUAUAAUGCUCCUGACCCCUUGGCCAGUGGCUUUGGUUUAGAUCAGAGUUGUCCAGCUUGAGCACAGCUGGGAGCUGCGCACAAGCCAUAUGUUGCAGGAUCCUCCUCCCCCUGCCAUGUGGCAGUGGAUGAGGCAGGGGCAGGGGCCUGCAGGUCGUAUCUUGACUUCCCAUAUCCUAGUCCUACCCCAGCACACUGUAUUGUGAGUGAAGCUGCUGCUGUUUCUUCCUUAUAGCCAUUUGUGGUAGCUUAUUUGGCCAUAUGGCUUGUCCCAGUCCAAAGUCCAUUCCUGACCUCCUCUACUGAGUUUCUUCUCUGCUGUCCCUUGUUCCCCUACUCCCAGUCUAAAAAAUAGAACAUCCCAGCUUGAGGGUCUGGUGUGAAUGACAAUAGAUUCUGCAUUGACCAAACAGCUGGGCUCCCUGUAGUAGGGGCAUAUGGAUGGAGAGUUGCCAGACUUGCAGUUGGCAUCUUUUGCUUUGUGACAGACAUGCUCAAAGCUUUUAAUCAAAACCCUCCAGCACUGGAUAUAGCUCUUUACUUGACCCUCUCUUCCAGCCUCUUAAAUGCUGUUGUACAGAUAUGGAUUUCAGGUAUAUGUACCACAGUUUCCAGUGUCUGUACUCACACCAGGAGCAAUCCAGAGCAGUGCUUAGCUGCUUUGCUUUCCAUGUACCAUUCACCUGAUCAGGCUAUUGAAUAUUCCUUUACACUGCUACGAAAUCAAGACAUUCUUUCCCUAGAGAAACUGGACUGUGUUUUAGCUCAGAUUUCAUACACCUUGGAGUCAACAGUUGCAUGGGUUCAAGUGAGCAAUACAGGUAUUGCUCUUUUGAAUCGGCUCCUGUGAUUGAGCCAAUUGAGCUUCCACUAUUUGACAGUGAACUCUCUCAAGGUGGUCAUUCAGGGGAAGGUAGAAGAAACCCCACUUUCCCCCAAAGCAUCUGGGGGAUAAUCUAUUCCUCAAGAAGGUCUUCAGCUUCAUCCAAAAAUACUUUUACCCCUAAAGGAGCAUAAGGUUUUGUAUCCCUUCUAAACUCUCCUUUCAGCAUGAAGUAUUAUAACCGUGGGAAUUCUUUUUACCUAUGUAAAUAUCCAAUUUUGUUUUGUAUCUUGUUAAGUUCUUAGGCUUGGUGACAUCCGGGAGUAUUUAGGUACAUGUUGCUUUUUUUAAAAAGGAAUGUUUGGUUAUCAGUUUUGAAAUUUACAGCCUUUUCAUUGAAAGGGAAGAAUUUGGAUUUUGUUUUGUUUAUAGAGUUAUUCUUCACUGACAAUCAAUCAGUCACAGAAGCAGGAAAUGAAAAGUUUCACAUCCUAUUAACACUUCUGAUUAUAAUGAAGUUUUAGUGUAGAUUUAAGGUCAAGAAAAAAUGUGAGUAAGCCAAACAAGAAUGCAGAACUGAAAUGAUUUGUGUUUUUACACCUAUUUUCCUUUUUCAUUGUCCUUUUGGUCUUUCUUCCUCAAACAACCCACAACAGACUUUUUCGUGGGACAUUGUUUUUAUUGGUAGUAGUGUAUUAGAGGAGCACUGGGAUGCCCCCAAUAACAUCAAGGUGGAUGCAUAGUAGUAGGUGCCAUGCAAACUUAAGACACAGUCCCUGUCCUGAAGAGUUUAAGUAAUAAAUAAUGAGCAAAACAAACACUGUGUGUAGGAAAGGGACACAACAUACCACCAAUAGAUUGCAAACUAAGCGUGUUGUCUUUGCAGAGCAGAAAGGACACAAUUGUUUUCACAGUAAUAUUUGGUUUUCCUACAUACCUUCUCUCAGAAGGGCUUGGGAAGAUAAAAGAUAAUACAAAUUGGUUGACCUGUACCUGCAUAGUUUCUGUAGAAAAGAUUUUUCUUAGUUAAAAAUAAGUGGCAAAAAGCUUGGUUAGUGUGGGUGUAUCCACACAUUCACUAAUGUGCCUUAGUUAUUGCACAUUUAGUUUAGUACCUCUAGUUACUGUGCAUUCAGUUACUACCUCAUUAGAGUUACUGCGCAGUAACACCAGCACACAGUUGUUUAGUGAUGCUUACUGUGCAUUAGCCUAAUAACGCUGCACAGUAGGCUAUUAGCAUGGUUAAUAACUGCUCUGCUACUGCACAGUGUUAUUAGGCUAAUGUGCAGUAAGCAUCUUGCGUAGACGCUGUCCCUAUCAGCUCGGAGCUACUUAGACUUGAGGUUAUGUACUAAGGAUGCAGUCAGUGAUAGGCCUGGGGUACAGGCUAGAAAGGAAGCACUAGCAGAUGGAGCUGUGGCCAGGAAAGUGACCACUGCCAUCUUUGUUAAUAUUGGCAAGGAAAAUGCAGUGUAAGUGGCAGGGUUGUCUGAGUAAUUAUUGUGCUAUGUGAUGAUGACCCUGGCUUCAUCUGAAGACAGAAGCCACAUUGUUCCCCUGGCUUUCCUUCUGCUAGUACUACCUUGUAUGACCUAGAUCGGUGUGGGCAAUUAUUUUGGGUGGAGGGCUGCUUACUGAGUUUUGGCAAGCCAUUGAAGGCCGCAUGACAGGCAUCCCGGGGCAGAUAAAUAUUAACUUUCUAAAUUUUUUAGGGGCCUCGUGGGCCGGAUAAUGGCCUGGCAGGCCACAUUUUGCCCACAGCUGACCUAGAUGGGUGAUUUUAAAGCCUGGGUGCUGGGGCACCUAGGGGUGUUGCAGAAUUCUUUGGAAGUUGCCAUGAGGUGUGAGAAGAUAAACAGGUAAGUUCAGCCUUGGGCUUUGUCCCUACAUGACAGUUCCUGCCUAUCCCUGUACUGCCUGGUCCCUCUGCAAGCAGGUAAGCACUGAAAAUAAGUUAGUUUUAUUAAAUGAGUUGCUGCCCAAUUCACAAAAGUUCUGGAUGGGUGCCAUAAGUCUAAUGAUUCAGGGGUGUAGGUUGUAGCUGUGUUGGUCUAAGAACAUAGGCAGACAAUUUAAGUCUAAUGAGGGGUUCCUCAGAUCUACAAAAGUUGAGAACCACUGACCUAGAUGAAUUUCAAGGGGUCAGGGGAAAGCUUUAAAUGUGCAAUUUUAUAUUAAUUCUAUCUACAUUUGCACUGAUAACUGAAGAAGAGAAUCAAAAUUGGGAUUUUAGGCUUAGCUACAAUGAGUGCAUAUUUCCAGGUAUAUACUGCUCCCUUUAUAACAUCAUCACAUUGAUAUAACAGCAAUAGUAAUGUUGUUCAUUGCAGACAGUCCUAUAAGUUCCAGUGGUUGUAUCAAGCAAAAAUGGCUAUCUUCCUGCUGCCUUCCGUUAGUGGUUUAGUGUCCUGGGGUAGAAGUGACCAGAGCAGGAAAGCAGUUCUGUUGUUAUCAAGCUAGUUCAGCAUCCUGUUGAUGUCCCCACCCUCCUUGGUGUAUGAUGCUUUACAGAGUGAAGAAUUCUUUUACAGGAAAAACUCAAGAUGGCUGGUAAAAUUUAUCAGCAAGGCAACCUCCCCAUGGCCGUUCUCUGUAUAGCUCUCUCUGUUCAUUGAUACACUGAUUAGUCAGCAGGUGAUAAACUAUAAUCUCCACAUAGAUGCCCCCACGCCCCCAACACAGGCAUGGAAAAAGUGAUCUUUUUUCCAGCCAGGGACUUCUAACAGGUAGACAUCCUGACAGAGCUGUACUGUCAGAUUUUUCUGCCUUGUGAGAGAGGUGCUCUUCUCUCCAGAGCAUGGCAUCCCUAACACAGGACAAGACGCCUUCCCAUAGUACUAAUUACCCUGGUCUCACUGAACAUGCUCAGAAUAAAUCCUGUGCACAGACACACGAUAUGCAGAUUUCUUGAUCCAUAAGCAAUGAAGCAUCAUUAGAGGAGCUGCCGGUGGGUUAAUUUGUUCUGCCCAGGCGCUGUGCCAUGUGAUCACUCGACUUCUGGUUUGGGAGCUAGUGUGAUUAUUAUGCCCUAGCAGCCUUGCACCCUAUAUAGCUGUACCCUUCAUGGGACAGGUUUGAACAUCUUCAAGGCAUUCCCAGGAUGAUGUAUUAAAACCAAUACUAUGCAGUCUACACCUAAGCACAUUAAGCUUCUUGCCCAACCAGGUCCUAAUUUUCCCCCCCUUAAUUCUUUAUAAUGAAUCAAAUGUGCAAUCUCCUAGUGGAGUGGGGGUUGACCUUUUUUUGACCCAGGUCCUCACAGAAGGUGAGAGGCAUCAUACCAGCUGUGAACUGACACCCCAGAGGAGUUUUCCAUCAAUUGCCUCCUCUGUGAAAUCCUAUGAAAUAUGAACUUUCAUUUCUACUCAGGAGAACUUUUACAAUCUUUUGUCCAAUGCCUGAUGAAGGGUGUUUGUGCCAGAAAGCUUGCAAUUAAAGAUUUUUUUUUUUAAAUGUUGGUUUAAUAAAAGAUAUCUCUACUACAAGUCCUGAUUGCCUUUUCCUUUAGACCAAUACGGCUAUAACCUGGAUACCGGUCAACCUUUCUGGCAGGUGUGCCACAAAUUAAGCCCUAUCUCUUUCCUAAGUGCCACUCCGAUCCCUUUCUGCUGCCUGCUCUGCUGCUCUGCUUUCUGCUCCCUGCCCUACCUGCUGCUUCGUUAGCUGCCCCCUCCUCAGUUUGCCUCAUGCCACACACAAAAGCUGACAGGGCCACUUUUAGCACAUGUGCUGCAGGUUGGCCACCCCUAUCCUAGUGUGUAACGUAGCUUGGAGACAUUUCUGAACAGGUCUAAUAAAAGCAUGCCAAGAAGAUAGGUAGCUACUUUGGCCAUGCUGUGAUUCAGUACGUAAAAAGGGAGCUUCUUUUCCUUCUUGCCAUAAACAAAACACAAUAUGCUCUUUCCGUACCUUGGCAGAACCUUCCUCUUCAGAUGAACCAAGGUGAUUAGGUCUCUUGCUGAGAGAAAAAUCACCCAGCAAUUUGGUGUGUUCUUUGGUGGUGCUUUCAUACCCCUUUCAACUGUGCGGGAAAUGUGAAGUGGGCUCUCUGCUACCAAAAGCUCUGGUCUUGGCCAUGGUUCCACCCUUGCCCAUCUCUGUCUCCCCAACUCCUCUCCCCCUCCCACAUGUGAGUGAGCUCUGCCAUACCCCCUUUUCAAACUGCUAGAUCUGCUCCUGCCAGCAGGGAAAAGGGAAGAGUUCAGGGAUGUUCUCCUGAAAGAAAUGCAAUGACUCUGGACACAGGACAGACAAUUAGACAUGAAGAAUGAGAAGGAGAAGCAGGAUAUGAAGGAGAAGAGGAAGGACAGAAAGAUCUUACCUACCUGGGGCAUGAGGAAAGCAGGACCAACAGCAGCAGAAGGAGAUGUCUGAGCAGCUGCUCACCCUCAUGGACACCAGGGUGCAGUCCCCAGUUUGUACCCCAGCUCCUGCAUCUGUUACAACACCUCCUUCAGCACUAUCACUGGUGCCCACAGAUUCCCUUCACCCCAUUGUGUUCUGCAGACAGAGCAGCUGCUGGGCAGGUUGGGUAGGCUAUGAACCACUCCAUGAACUCUUGAAAUGGACACAUGUUCCCUGUUCAUUGUGGUCCAUAGCAGGAGGAACAGUUCUUCAGUCCACCCACCAUCAAUGAGAUUGUCCUGGCUGGGGCCACUUUUCCUUUUCACAAUUUGCACAGCACUUUUGACUUUCUGAGAUGUCUGCAGUGACUUUCAACACACUAUUGUUAUAUACAUAUUUUGUUAUUAGUUAUUCAGUCAGUUUGGUUGAUGACCUGUGAGUGCUUGGGAAAGAAGGAAGAGUCAUGAAGUCUAAUCCAAAACUUUGAAUAAAGUAAACAUAAAUUACCAUAUUAUAAAAUCAUUACAGCAAAAUGUUAGUCUUUUAGCAAGGAAUUACUACAGGGCAUCAAAAAGCCAUAUUUCAUUCCUGCAAUGUAGUUAUGGUCAGAGUAUUACUCCUGCAUAUUUCAAAUUUCUAGUAUUCCAGUUUUAUCAACAAAGGGAGGAGGUUAUUUUAUUACAUGGAAAGAGUGCAUGGCCGCAAAGAAUGCAUAGAACAGUAAAAAUAUUAAAAGUAUUUAGUACUUUCCAGGUUCAAAGAUAAUUAAGCUAUUGAUAAAUCUUCACAACCAAUGCAUUCAUUCAGUAUCUCAUUUAACAGUAUCUCAUUCGCUUACUACCAAAGUUUCAAAGGUGCUGGAGUUCCCACAUCUGCUGUUGACUUUAGAGGUACUGAGUGCAGAGUAACCUCUACAGAACUGGCUGCAAGCUGUCAAAACAUGAACACUCAACAAAAAAAAAAAAGCAGAUACAUGUGAAACUUUGGGCUGUGAGGACUUGGUCUUUUUUCCUGAUGUCUAGCGGAAGUGACCAGUUCUUGCAAUACAUUGAUAAUUAUGAAUAUUUUUACAUAAGUCAUUCAGUUUUGUCAUGAUUGCACAAUAGCAAAAAAGGAAUCAAAGUUUUUCUAGGUUUAAGACAACUACAAUGAAGUACAAAGCAAAACAGAUAAAAAGAAAUGUCCAAGUUAAUUUAUUCAUCUGUGCAGUUGGGAAGGAAAGCAGAACAUGUUUUCAAAUCAUUCUACAUCCCUUGCAGAGAGUAUACAUAUGGUUAUGAUGCAUUUCUGCAAACUUGCUGAAUAUUUUAUCCCUGAAAGGAAUAAAACAUGAAAGGGCAUGUUGUCAGCGCUGCCAAAAUGAAGGGGAGACAACUCAGGACUUUAUGAAAAAUCCAUAUGAAAUGGUCAGUUCUAUCAGCCUGAAGAGAGCAAAGAUCAACAUCAGAGAGAGGUUUUCAACAGAAGGCUAUGAAAAAAGAGAGAUAUGACCAUUGAUUUAUUAUUAAUUGUUUUCUUUUAUAUUUUCUCUUGGAUCUUGUAAUCUCAAUUUUAAUUUUUUAUGACCAAAAUAAUUACAGAGCAUGAAGGUUCACCAUUACAAACUAAGAGUAAAACCCUCAAAUUCUGUACAAAGGGAAACUAUCACAGACUUUUAUUAGGGAAAAAUUAAACUGGGCAAUCACUAAUGAAAAGCACGGGGGUGUCAUAAUUGCAAGGUAGAAGCAGAAAUAGAAUAUCCAUGAAAGAGAGCUGUUUCAGAGGCAAUCAUAAGUACAUCCAGCCUGAUUACCAGUUAUCAAAAACAACAAUGCACUAAAAGUAAAAAGAAAAAAAGCCAGUAAGUCAGAGUGUGCUACAUCAAAUCAGGGAAAGAAGUAAUAACAACAGAAACUUUUGAAGAUGCCUAGAGUAUAAAAAUUACUCAGAAAAAAAUGGUUGGAAAAUAAUCUUUAACAGAGUGCCCCACAAAUAUCAAAAUUUUAAGACUGACUCCAGUGCUGACACUUCUAUGAUAUCAAAAUUGAUGUAUGAUAUAGUUUGGCCAUUCUUGCAGCUGCUAUCUGCCAGCGCUAUCUUGAAAUCCCCAAGGGCUGUGCUGACAUGCAAAGGGCAGUGUAUUGAACAAACACAGUGAAAGGGCAAGCUGUACAUAUUACCAUAUGGUUGUGUUCUGCAGGGCCAACAUAGUAACUGGAUUAAUUUGGGAAAAAUUGCAACGAUGCCCAAUAUGAAGGUCUAUUGUGCGAGUACCACACAGAGACUAUCUGAACUGCAGCUGCCAAAAGGCCAGGCAAAAUUAGAAAGAAUGGAGAGUAACGGAGUUACUGUGAUGAUUCACGGACAGUUAAGUACAUUUUGGACAGUUUUCACUGAGAAAAGGGACAACUAUUUAAGAUGCAAAAAAGGUAUUUACUGUCUACAUGGAUGAUAUUCCAGUGUGGGACUGUUCAGAUGAAGAAAACAAGUACUCAGAGGAAAUCUCUAAAACAAUGAGAACUUCUGGUCUGAAACGCAACAAAGCAGAAUGUGAACUGUGCCAAAUAUGUCAGCUUUCCAGGCCAGCCAUAAGAUUAGUCAAGAUGGGCAGCAUCCAGAUCUGGAAAAAGACAGCCAUCUUAGAACUGCAGCCUCUUUAUAAUAUAUGGAAUGGAAAACAAAGCAGCAUAAUAAACAGUCAUGACAUUCUGACAAAAUCUAAUUUUUGUUGAACUACUGAUGGGCUCUGAGUUUUGAAAGCUGAAUUCAUGUGUGGUUUGCAAUCAAGUAGCUUUGAAAGAAGUAGACACUAACAUUGAGGGCUGUAGUGCCAAUUUUGUCUGAAUUGCAUAGUUAAUGACUGUAUGCCUGCAUAGUAUAGAUAAUGUAUUAUUACAUCAGUAAGAUUUCCUAUUAAAGCCAUUUGAUUUCUUUUCCAAAACAUUACAACUACACAGGCAGGGAAAAAACAAAACAAAAGUCUGUCAUGCAUUUCAGUUUAUGAAAGCUUUUUAAUUUUGCUUUGGACUUCUCACCCAGUUACAGGUCACAGACUCUUUGUGCCUGUAAAUCUGAUUCUCCAACCCCAACUCAGAGGGUUGCUAGGGUUUAUACAUGCGAGUAAGUCCAUUGAUGUAACUGCAACUCAACCUGGCUAAAGGUGGCAGAAUCAGAAUGUAAAAUAACAGUAUGUGGUUCAUCAUUAGGUGAGAAGAUUUGCAAUGUUAACAGAGAGGGCAAGAACCAGUGGAAUAAACCAGCUGCAAACAGAACAUCUAUGUCUGCAAGGUCCUAUGUCAGUGAGAUUCAGGAAGGAUAUCUUAGAAGAAAUCAAAUCAGCCUUAGUUUGUUCCAUUUUCCUUAGAAGGUAUAAAAAAUACUUUGCAGGUCCAUUCUUUCAUUCAUUGUAAGAAAUCAGACUGUUAAGAUGGAGCACAAAAACACCUCUCCCAGAAUUACUGGAAUGCAUUUUUGGGCUGGAUUGUGAUUUUUGCUUUGAAUCAUUAUGUUUUCAGUGGAUCAUUCCUGUGCAAAUAAGAUCAGAAUUAGCUGCCUAAAAGGCAUGUGGUGCUAGUAUAUCAAGUUGCAAUUUUCCUGACAGACCCAUAUCAUCCAUAGUAGCAUUGCUAAUAAUGACCCAUGCCUCUCCUUUAAAAUUAAUGUACUAGUGUAAUUGCAUAACAUGUGAGGGGUUGUUUUUCUGUGUACCUAAAAUCACAAUCUUGUAUUAUGGAAGGCAAAUAAUAUUCUUUACAUAAGGUCUUCCCAUCAAAUUAUUAAAAUACUUGUGUGCAUCAUAUUGUCAGAAGAGAAAAGCAUGCUAGCUUACAAGACAAAGCAGUGAAUCAAACAAAUCCAAACACUUCCUUGUUCAAUUUUCAUGGUUGCCUAGGGCUUUAUUGUACUUGCUCCUGAUAGACACCUUUGUAUUGUUUUUUAUAAAACUAUUAACUUAAGCAGAGAAAAUUAACUAAACACUAAUAUUAAUUACAGGUA